rnacentral:rRNA from 1 species
UACGUAGGGCGCAAGCGUUGUCCGGAAUUAUUGUGCGUAAAGAGCGUGUAGGCGGCCAGAUAGGUCCGUUGUGAAAACUGGAGGCUUAACCUCCAGCUGUCGAUGGAAACCAUCUGGCUAGAGUCCGGAAGAGGAGAGUGGAAUUCCUGGUGUAGCGGUGAAAUGCGCAGAUAUCAGGAAGAACACCCGUGGCGAAGGCGGCUCUCUGGGACGGUACUGACGCUGAGACGCGAAAGCGUGGGGAGCGAACAGG